ensembl:lncRNA
AGCGUAAACGGGACCUGGAGAGUUUUCCUUUCCUCUUCGGGAAGUCUCCUUAGGUCAAAGGGAAAUACGGUACGCUAAUGCCUGCCGUUUUUACUAGCAGAAAGGUUAGGAGUCUCAAGAAGGAAAUGAAUUCCAUAAUUGAGGGUCCCAUAAGAGUAGCGUGACAAUUAGAUCAAUUUCUAGGGCCUAAUUUCUAUGUUUAUCGUGGGUAGGUUGUUUACUGGAGAAGAAAGAGGCAAGAUUAGGUGGGCAGCUGUGCAAGUGAGGGAAAGGAAUACAGAGGGAAGUUUGGGCCCUGGAGAGAGGCAGAGAGAGGAAGGAUCCAGAGGGUAAAUUGGACUGAUUAUUGUCACUGUCUUUGUGACUGUUGAACAUAAAUGGAGAAAUGGGACCAGUUUUAUAAUUGAGUACCCUAACCAUGGGACCAAACAGCGACACAGAGCUACCUCCAAUCCAGCAGUGUGCGACUGCACAGAGACUGUCUGUGCCAGUGGGCCAGACCUACAGGAAGAACCAUUGGAUGGUGUGGAGGGUUCCUGCAUUCAUCGACAGAAGCAGUUUUGUGAGACAAGGAAACUGUAAGGCAGGAUAUGGAGUAACUGCUACUUACCAGGUAAUUGAAGCAAAACUAUUACCUGUGGAGAAAUACUUGAGAAAUACUUGGAUUGCUAGGGAUUAAGUGUUAAGAAAUGUCACAGAAAGGCUUUUGAAUGUUACUCUAUACAACUUUCCAAUUUUCUUCUCCAGCAUCCAGCUACUGUUUGAGCUAAGCCUAGAACUAGUCUUCCUGAAGCCUCUGUAGUUUGUGUCAAAAGAAAAACAUAAAUCAGGCAGCUAUACUGGGUAUAGCUAGAAGUAUCUAACUGUACUAUACACAGUGAUGUAUGCUUUUGGAAGUGAACUGUAAUAAAUCAUAGACAAUUCUGUGAUGUCUAGACAAAUAGUUAAACUUUUAUCCAGAUCAUCACCCCACUCAGCAGUAUUAAUACACUGUGGAGAAGACAGGUUUCUUAGGGAUGUUCCUUACCAUAAAAUGCCUCAGUCAACAGUUUUUCCCUUAGGCCAUAUUACUGUCCACUGCUACAGGGACCUUGCAGAUGGUCAUCACACAAAACACUGAUGGACAACACACAAAUUGCCACUGUAAGUUGGUAGUUACCUAUAAAUUGCACUGGAGAAAAAAAAAGAUUUGUUUUUACUUGUUUUCUGCCUCACAGAAAUCAAUUUAAAUAGCUGUAGUACGUGAUUUCUAAAGAAUAAAAUGAGCUAAAAGCCCUCUUGAAUGACGAGUGAACACCUUGUGGGGAAAAAUGCUGAAAAUUACAUGUGAUUUAUAAAGCUUUGCUAGAGAUAGCAAUAUAAACUUCUCAUUUUUAUACAAAAUCAAGAUGCUUUAGUCAGUCUAGAGUCAAACAAAAACUGAAAAUCUGGUUGGUUUGUAUGCUAAGUACACAUAUUUUAUGCAUUUUUCACCAUGAAUUACAACACUGUGUUGUAAUAGAAAUACAGUAUUGAUUUUCAUAUAGAAAUUGCAUGUUUAUCUCUGUUCUUGUGCCUGACUUUAGGAUCUGAAUUUCCUAGCAUUGGAGUAAUAAUGACAUGUGAAAAUUAUUUUCUUUCCAAUAAAUUACUG